rfam:Lachancea thermotolerans CBS 6340 chromosome C complete sequence.
GCGGAUUUAGCUCAGAUGGGAGAGCGCCAGACUGAAGUCAACUUCGGUCAAUUUGUAAUCUGGAGGUCCUGUGUUCGAUCCACAGAAUUCGCA